GGGCCGUUAGCUCACUUGGUAGAGCGCCGGUUUUGCAUACCGGAGGUAGGGAGUUCGAUCCUCCCACGGUCCA
rnacentral:tRNA from 1 species